GUCUGACAUGGCCCGACGGUGGCAGGUCUUGCCCCGACGUUUGGCCGUGGAGCGAUGAC
rfam:Burkholderia calidae type strain LMG 29321 genome assembly, contig: contig000045